UAGAUGCGAGAGUAGAGCAUAUCAAUAAGCGGAGGAAAAGAAACUAACAAGGAUUCCCUUAGUAACGGCGAGUGAAGCGGGAAGAGCUCAAAUUUGAAAUCUUCAAGGUUCUACCUUGACGAAUUGUAGUUUAAAGAAGUGUUUUCUGUUAGAUGAGUAGCAAAAGUUCCUUGGAAUGGGACAUCAUAGAGGGUGAGAAUCCCGUAUUUGGUUAUUCAUUCUAGCUUUGUGAUACACUUUCAAAGAGUCGGAUUGUUUGGGAAUGCAGUCCAAAAUGGGUGGUAAAUUUCAUCUAAAGCUAAAUAUUGGCGAGAGACCGAUAGCGAACAAGUACCGUGAGGGAAAGAUGAAAAGAACUUUGAAAAGAGAGUUAAACAGUACGUGAAAUUGUCAAAAGGGAAGCGUUUGACACCAGUGUUGUUUUCUCCGAAAAUCAAUUACGAAUGGCUUGAUUUUGUGUUGUAUUGACCUUAUCAGCUUUCUGCACUUUUUUCGAGUCUUUCUUAAUGCACUUUUCGGUUAACAAGUCAACAUCAAUUUCUUUUGUUGUAAAAGAGUAUUCGGAAGGUGGCUUUCUUUUCGGAGAAAGUGUUUAUAGCCCUAUACUUCUACAAUCGGAGAGAUUGAGGUCUGCAGCGUAGAUCCUUCGGGGUUAGAUACAUUUGUGCUAAGCUUAAGCUUUUCAUAGACAACUUGUUGACUAUGUUUAGUCAUGCUGACUUACUCGCUUAUGCUAUUUUACCUACGCUUAGGAUGUUGAGCGCAUGUCUCUCUCU
rnacentral:rRNA from 1 species